rnacentral:rRNA from 1 species
UACGUAGGGACCAAGCGUUGUUCGGAUUUACUGGGCGUAAAGGGCGCGUAGGCGGCAAUUCAAGUCAUCUGUGAAAUCUCCGGGCCUAACUCGGAAUGGUCAGGUGAUACUGCUUUGCUAGAGUGCAGAAGGGGCAAUCGGAAUUCUUGGUGUAGCGGUGAAAUGCGUAGAUAUCAAGAGGAACACCUGAGGUGAAGACGGGUUGCUGGGCUGACACUGACGCUGAGGCGCGAAAGCUAGGGGAGCAAACGGG